GAACCAACAAAAAUAUUUCCAGUGUUUAUUUAGACUGUUCCCUUGAAGUAAGAGCAUUUAUCAACAGAAUUAAUACAACAAAAACUGAA